CCGGAGAAUGUUAUCACGGGAGACACACGGCGGGUGCUAACGUCCGUCGUGAAGAGGGAAACAACCCAGACCGCCAGCUAAGGUCCCAAAGUCAUGGUUAAGUGGGAAACGAUGUGGGAAGGCCCAGACAGCCAGGAUGUUGGCUUAGAAGCAGCCAUCAUUUAAAGAAAGCGUAAUAGCUCACUGGUCGAGUCGGCCUGCGCGGAAGAUGUAACGGGGCUAAACCAUGCACCGAAGCUGCGGCAGCGACGCUGAUGCGUUGUUGGGUAGGGGAGCGUUCUGUAAGCCUGUGAAGGUGUGUCGUGAGGCAUGCUGGAGGUAUCAGAAGUGCGAAUGCUGACAUAAGUAACGAUAAAGCGGGUGAAAAGCCCGCUCGCCGGAAGACCAAGGGUUCCUGUCCAACGUUAAUCGGGGCAGGGUGAGUCGACCCCUAAGGCGAGGCCGAAAGGCGUAGUCGAUGGGAAACGGGUUAAUAUUCCCGUACUUGGUGUUACUGCGAAGGGGGGACGGAGAAGGCUAUGUUGGCCGGGCGACGGUUGUCCCGGUUUAAGCGUGUAGGUGUGUGUUCCAGGUAAAUCCGGUUCACUUUAACACUGAGGCGUGAUGACG
rnacentral:rRNA from 1 species